UACGUAGGGGGCAAGCGUUGUCCGGAAUCAUUGGGCGUAAAGAGCGUGUAGGCGGUUCGGUAAGUCCGCUGUGAAAGUCCAGGGCUCAACCUGGAGACGCCACCCGAUACUGUCGUGACUAGAGUCCAGUAGGGGAGCGUGGAAUUCCUGGUGUAGCGGUGAAAUGCGCAGAUAUCAGGAGGAACACCAGCGGCGAAGGCGGCGCUCUGGGCUGGAACUGACGCUGAGGAGCGAAAGCGUGGGGAGCGAACAGG
rnacentral:rRNA from 1 species